GACGAACGCUGGCGGCGUGCCUAAUACAUGCAAGUAGAACGCUGAAGAGAGGAGCUUGCUCUUCUUGGAUGAGUUGCGAACGGGUGAGUAACGCGUAGGUAACCUGCCUUGUAGCGGGGGAUAACUAUUGGAAACGAUAGCUAAUACCGCAUAACAAUGGAUGACACAUGUCAUUUAUUUGAAAGGGGCAAUUGCUCCACCACAAGAUGGACCUGCGUUGUAUUAGCUAGUAGGUGAGGUAAUGGCUCACCUAGGCGACGAUACAUAGCCGACCUGAGAGGGUGAUCGGCCACACUGGGACUGAGACACGGCCCAGACUCCUACGGGAGGCAGCAGUAGGGAAUCUUCGGCAAUGGGGGCAACCCUGACCGAGCAACGCCGCGUGAGUGAAGAAGGUUUUCGGAUCGUAAAGCUCUGUUGUAAGUCAAGAACGGGUGUGAGAGUGGAAAGUUCACACUGUGACGGUAGCUUACCAGAAAGGGACGGCUAACUACGUG
rnacentral:rRNA from 1 species